UUGUGUUUGAUGAAUCUAACACUCUUUCUGAGAGACAUGAACAUGAAGAUGAAGCCAUUGGACUAGUGAGACAAUUGACUGAAGCCACAAUACAAUUCAAGGUGGCAUCAAAGGAAUGAGAAGGUGAUGGAACAUGUCCUUUCAUACAAGGCAACCUGAUAGGCGGAACCAAUCUGAGAGAAACUGCACAAAUACUCUGAAGGAUCCUGUACCUGAACCUGUUCCUCUGCAAGAUAACAAUGAAGAAGAAACUAGCAGGAACCAGCUGGUGGGGAAAUCUUACAAGUACCUGAGUUCUCACCCCAUUGAGAACAUCAUGAAUGAUCCAACAUCUAGAGUCAAGACUAGAUCACAAUUGAAGUACCUGUGUGUAUUUGUUGCCUUUCUGUCCCUCAGUGACCUAAAAAUAUAAUCUAACAUUUGGGGUCAAGACUAGAUCACAACUGAAGAACCUAUGUGCAUUUGAUUCCUUUCUGUCCCUCAUUGACCUUAAAAAUGUGAAUAAAGCUCUACAAGAUGCAUAUUGGGUCAAUGCUAUGCAAGAUGAGCUCAAUCAGUUUGAAAGAAGCUAAGUCUGGAACUUGUUCCAAUACCUAAGGACAUGUCAUUCAUUGGGACAAAAUGGGUCUUCAGGAACAAACUAGAUGAAGAUGGAACUGUUACAAGAAACAAGGCAAGGUUGGUGGUUCAAGGCUAUAGUCGAAAGGAAGGCAUUGAUUAAGAUGAGACUAUUGCUCCAGUUGCUAGACUUGAAGCAAUUAGACUUCUUAUAGCCGUUACAAAACAUAUGGAAUUCACUCUUCAUCAAAUGGAUGUCAAAAAUGCCUUCCUAAAUAGCUAUCUCAAGGAAGAAGUGUUUUUGAAACAACCUCUAGGAUUCAAAAGCAAAGAAUGUCCUGAUCAUAUGUACAAGUUAGAUAAAACUCUCUACGGUCUCAAAAAGACCCCAAGAGCUUGGUAUGAAAGAUUGUCAAAGUUCCUUCUGGAGCAUGGGUACAAAAGAGGUAAAAUUGACAGCACUUUGUUCCUAAGGGAAAAAGGUAAAGAUCUUCUUGUUGUAUAAAUAUAUGUUAAUGACAUAAUAUUUGGGGCCACUACAGAUAGAUUUAGUAAGGACUUUGUUAAGCUAAUGGGAAGUGAGUUUGAAAUGAGCAUGAUGGGUGAACUCAAUUUCUUCUUGGGGCUACAGAUUAAAUAAAGUCCAGAUGGAACUAUGAUCCAUAA
rnacentral:lncRNA from 1 species